GGGUUGUGAGGUUAAGCGACUAAGCGUACACGGUGGAUGCCCUGGCAGUCAGAGGCGAUGAAGGGCGUGCUAAUCUGCGAUAAGCGCCGGUAAGGUGAUAUGAACCGUUAUAACCGGCGAUACCCGAAUGGGGAAACCCAGUGUGAUUCGUCACACUAUCAUUAACUGAAUCCAUAGGUUAAUGAGGCGAACCGGGGGAACUGAAACAUCUAAGUACCCCGAGGAAAAGAAAUCAACCGAGAUUCCCCCAGUAGCGGCGAGCGAACGGGGAGGAGCCCAGAGCCUGAAUCAGCAUGUGUGUUAGUGGAAGCGUCUGGAAAGGCGCGCGAUACAGGGUGACAGCCCCGUACACAAAAGCGCAUGUGCUGUGAGCUCGAUGAGUAGGGCGGGACACGUGGUAUCCUGUCUGAAUAUGGGGGGACCAUCCUCCAAGGCUAAAUACUCCUGACUGACCGAUAGUGAACCAGUACCGUGAGGGAAAGGCGAAAAGAACCCCGGCGAGGGGAGUGAAAAAGAACCUGAAACCGUGUACGUACAAGCAGUGGGAGCACCCUUCGGGGUGUGACUGCGUACCUUUUGUAUAAUGGGUCAGCGACUUAUAUUCUGUAGCAAGGUUAACCGAAUAGGGGAGCCGGAGGGAAACCGAGUCUUAAUUGGGCGUUAAGUUGCAGGGUAUAGACCCGAAACCCGGUGAUCUAGCCAUGGGCAGGUUGAAGGUUGGGUAACACUAACUGGAGGACCGAACCGACUAAUGUUGAAAAAUUAGCGGAUGACCUGUGGCUGGGGGUGAAAGGCCAAUCAAACCGGGAGAUAGCUGGUUCUCCCCGAAAGCUAUUUAGGUAGCGCCUCGUGAAUUCAUCUCCGGGGGUAGAGCACUGUUUCGGCUAGGGGGCCAUCCCGGCUUACCAACCCGAUGCAAACUGCGAAUACCGGAGAAUGUUAUCACGGGAGACACACGGCGGGUGCUAACGUCCGUCGUGAAGAGGGAAACAACCCAGACCGCCAGCUAAGGUCCCAAAGUCAUGGUUAAGUGGGAAACGAUGUGGGAAGGCCCAGACAGCCAGGAUGUUGGCUUAGAAGCAGCCAUCAUUUAAAGAAAGCGUAAUAGCUCACUGGUCGAGUCGGCCUGCGCGGAAGAUGUAACGGGGCUAAACCAUGCACCGAAGCUGCGGCAGCGACACUGUGUGUUGUUGGGUAGGGGAGCGUUCUGUAAGCCUGCGAAGGUGGCCUGUGAGGGUUGCUGGAGGUAUCAGAAGUGCGAAUGCUGACAUAAGUAACGAUAAAGCGGGUGAAAAGCCCGCUCGCCGGAAGACCAAGGGUUCCUGUCCAACGUUAAUCGGGGCAGGGUGAGUCGACCCCUAAGGCGAGGCCGAAAGGCGUAGUCGAUGGGAAACGGGUUAAUAUUCCCGUACUUGGUGUUACUGCGAAGGGGGGACGGAGAAGGCUAUGUUGGCCGGGCGACGGUUGUCCCGGUUUAAGCGUGUAGGUGUGUGUUCCAGGUAAAUCCGGUUCACUUUAACACUGAGGCGUGACGACGAGGCACUACGGUGCUGAAGCAACAAAUGCCCUGCUUCCAGGAAAAGCCUCUAAGCAUCAGGUAACAUCAAAUCGUACCCCAAACCGACACAGGUGGUCAGGUAGAGAAUACCAAGGCGCUUGAGAGAACUCGGGUGAAGGAACUAGGCAAAAUGGUGCCGUAACUUCGGGAGAAGGCACGCUGACAUGUAGGUGAAGUGAUUUACUCAUGGAGCUGAAGUCAGUCGAAGAUACCAGCUGGCUGCAACUGUUUAUUAAAAACACAGCACUGUGCAAACACGAAAGUGGACGUAUACGGUGUGACGCCUGCCCGGUGCCGGAAGGUUAAUUGAUGGGGUCAGCGCAAGCGAAGCUCCUGAUCGAAGCCCCGGUAAACGGCGGCCGUAACUAUAACGGUCCUAAGGUAGCGAAAUUCCUUGUCGGGUAAGUUCCGACCUGCACGAAUGGCGUAAUGAUGGCCAGGCUGUCUCCACCCGAGACUCAGUGAAAUUGAACUCGCUGUGAAGAUGCAGUGUACCCGCGGCAAGACGGAAAGACCCCGUGAACCUUUACUAUAGCUUGACACUGAACAUUGAGCCUUGAUGUGUAGGAUAGGUGGGAGGCUUUGAAGUGUGGACGCCAGUCUGCAUGGAGCCGACCUUGAAAUACCACCCUUUAAUGUUUGAUGUUCUAACGUGGACCCGUAAUCCGGGUUGCGGACAGUGUCUGGUGGGUAGUUUGACUGGGGCGGUCUCCUCCUAAAGAGUAACGGAGGAGCACGAAGGUUGGCUAAUCCUGGUCGGACAUCAGGAGGUUAGUGCAAUGGCAUAAGCCAGCUUGACUGCGAGCGUGACGGCGCGAGCAGGUGCGAAAGCAGGUCAUAGUGAUCCGGUGGUUCUGAAUGGAAGGGCCAUCGCUCAACGGAUAAAAGGUACUCCGGGGAUAACAGGCUGAUACCGCCCAAGAGUUCAUAUCGACGGCGGUGUUUGGCACCUCGAUGUCGGCUCAUCACAUCCUGGGGCUGAAGUAGGUCCCAAGGGUAUGGCUGUUCGCCAUUUAAAGUGGUACGCGAGCUGGGUUUAGAACGUCGUGAGACAGUUCGGUCCCUAUCUGCCGUGGGCGCUGGAGAACUGAGGGGGGCUGCUCCUAGUACGAGAGGACCGGAGUGGACGCAUCACUGGUGUUCGGGUUGUCAUGCCAAUGGCACUGCCCGGUAGCUAAAUGCGGAAGAGAUAAGUGCUGAAAGCAUCUAAGCACGAAACUUGCCCCGAGAUGAGUUCUCCCUGAGACUUAAAGUCUCCUGAAGGAACGUUGAAGACGACGACGUUGAUAGGCCGGGUGUGUAAGCGCAGCGAUGCGUUGAGCUAACCGGUACUAAUGAACCGUGAGGCUUAACCUUACAACGCCGAAG
rnacentral:rRNA from 1 species